GGGCUUGCGUCCGAUUAGCUGGUUGGUAGGGUAACGGCUUACCAAGGCGAGGAUCGGUAGCUGGUUUGAGAGGACGGUCAGCCACACUGGGACUGAGACACGGCCCAGACUCCUACGGGAGGCAGCAGCAAGGAAUAUUGCGCAAUGGGCGAAAGCCUGACGCAGCGACGCCGCGUGGGGGAUGAAGGCUUCCGGGUUGUAAACCCCUUUUCUCAGGGAAGUGACGGUACCUGAGGAAUAAGUCUCGGCUAACUACGUGCCAGCAGCCGCGGUAAUACGUAGGAGGCGAGCGUUAUCCGGAUUUACUGGGCGUAAAGCGGGCGUAGGCGGUCCUUCAAGUCGGAUGUAAAAUCUCCCGGCUCAACUGGGAGAGACCAUUCGAAACUGCUGGGCUUGAGGAUAGCAGAGGGAGGUGGAAUUCCCGGUGUAGUGGUGAUAUGCGUAGAU
rnacentral:rRNA from 1 species